UGAAGGAGAGGCCGAGGGAGGUGGAGCGGGAGGAGGUGGGGCUUACUGUGAAACUGGGUCAAGAUGGCCUCGGAUUUGAGCAGGCAGGGUCACCAGGCUCUGAGGCAGCAGCUGUGAGCAGUGCCGAGGGAGGACCAGCUCUGACGGUGAGGUCGGGUGGGGGACUAGAAUCCAGCAGAGGAGCGAGGGCAGGGCUCCUACCAGGAAACCCAUAGCAUUGACACUAACUGAGAGGCAGCAAAGGCGGUGACACUCCCCCAGGCUCUGUGGGCCCAGCCCUACCCCUGAAGCACAGUUAACUGGUUCUGGGGUAGGAACUGGGGGCCGGAGGGACAGGGUUCUGGUUCUGGCUCAACCUUGGCUGCUGGUGAGAUCCAGGGCCUGGGAAAGAGGGGCUGAGGCCUGAACUGGGCCUAAGGAGAGUGCAGCUCAGUUCGCACACAACAGCACCCAGCCCUGUCCCCUUGCUGCCUCUACCCAGCCCUGGGCAGUUCCCUCAACAGAGCUCUGCAGCCCCAAGUGGCAGCUGCUGGCUCAAAGCUGGGACUACAUGAAAGUCUGAAAAGAGAAUGAGAAGGAGGUGGCGCAAGAGCCUGGACGCACGUGUGGGAGGCCGUUUUGUGCAGCGCCAUUGUGCUCCCCGGGCGGGCAUGUGCUCGCGCUCCGUGGCUCUGUUGGUGCCCAGCGUGCGGGGGUGUGCUGGUGGCCCUGUGGGCCUGUAGGGCAACCCAUGCCAACUGCGGAAAAGUAACCAGCACCAUACACCCCCCCCAACACAAAACUGGUCAUUUAUUUUUUUUGUUGUCAUUGUUAUUAGGAAGCAAAAAAAUGUACAGUUACAAGAAUCAUUUUCCAAACAGAGGUUAAAUAUGAGCUGAAAAGUGUAAAAAAGGAAGAGGAACAUCACUUUACAAAUCAUUAAAUUAAACAAAUAAACAAACAGAACCCAAAGAA
rnacentral:lncRNA from 1 species